GAUGAACGCUAGCGGCAGGCUUAACACAUGCAAGUCGAGGGGCAGCAUGAUCAAACUUUCGGGUUUGGUUGAUGGCGACCGGCGCAAGGGUGCGUAACGCGUGAGCAACUUGCCCUUAUCAGGGGAAUAACCGUUGGAAACGACGACUAAUACCCCAUAGCAUCACUUCAAGGCAUCUUUUAGUGAUUAAAGAAUUUCGGAUAAGGAUAGGCUCGCGUGACAUUAGCUAGAUGGCGGGGUAACGGCCCACCAUGGCGACGAUGUCUAGGGGUUCUGAGAGGAAGGUCCCCACACUGGAACUGAGACACGGUCCAG
rnacentral:rRNA from 1 species